rnacentral:sRNA from 1 species
UGUCUAUAGGUGUAGACGAAAUUUGUGA